GUUGCUAUCCAACCAUCUCUAAUGCGGCUCACUAAUGGCCAAAGUGAACGGUUGCAAGCCCGUGUAAACGCAGAGCAGAGA
rnacentral:ribozyme from 1 species